UUAAACUGAAGAGUUUGAUCAUGGCUCAGAUUGAACGCUGGCGGCAUGCCUAACACAUGCAAGUCGAACGAUGAAGUCUAGCUUGCUAGACGGAUUAGUGG
rnacentral:rRNA from 1 species